rnacentral:lncRNA from 1 species
CAUAAAUUAUAAAAUUCCUGAUAAAAAGCGGUGCUGAGCAUGCAUGUAAUAUGCUUGAAACAUAUUCAAAGAAUAAAGUUUUAUAACUUCCUAAUGUAAGGAGAAAGGGGUAGGAGAAAGGGGGUGGGAGAAAGGAGAAAGUAGGUAGGAGAAAGGAGAGGAAGGCUGGGAGAAAGGAGAAAAAAUAAAAUAUCUCUACUUUUAAAAAAUUUUCUAAUAUUUCAAGAAAAAAUAUCUCAAAAGGAGAUGUUUUAUUCUAAUGGGAGAAAGGAGAACGGGGGUAGGAGAAAGGAGAAGAGGGGUGGGAGAAGGGAGAAGGGUACCCCCCUGUCCUCCCCCUCAUUCAAAGAAUAAAGUUUUAUAACUUCCUAAUGUCAUUUCCAAAAUUUAUCAAAACCUAAAUCUUACUGUGGAUUCCUAUAUUUUUCGUGGAUGUCAAUUCUCCUGGAUUGUUGAAAACUUGCAUAUUCAUCGAUAUUUGAUUUUGUGGUUUUAACAAUCCAGACAGACAAAUAGCAAUAAGGUGUUUAGGAAAACAUGACCUAAAACCUCCUUCAUAUAAGACAAAAAUACAUGGGAACUCAUACUGAAUGGUCAAAUGUGUUCAAUAUGAAAAUUGCAGUUAAGAUGGUAAAAUCACAAAUCAGCCGUUUCUGUAAAUGGACUAUGACUUUUGAGCAAAUUUAAAAGUAGUCCGAGAUUACUCUGACGUCCAACGGCUGUUUUGCCAGACAAGCUGGGGCCGUGGGACGUCAGAGCUCGUCCCAUAUCAAAAAGUGGAUAUUUGCCCACCCAAAAUAGAUGCGCUGCUUCGCCGCUUCUGAUGCCGACUGACGGCCAUGGAGUUAUAUAAAUCGGGCACCAAUCUGUUCAUUUUUCAUUUAUCUCUUCAUUUAUGUAAGUUUCACCUACCUGCCAACCUUUAUUUUUCCAUAUUUUAACAGUUUUCACAGUGACCCAUCGAUUUCGGCAUUUUGCCGUUGGACGUCAGAGUAAUCUCGAACUAAUUUAAAGGGAAAUGACAGGGAAGGGGCCAAAUAUUGUUCAAGGGGAGCAAAUGCCCUUUCAUUUGGUAUGCAGGUUUCAAAAAUAGAGGGAGAAUAAGAGGAAAAGUUGAGUCAUCUUAUUAGACUUCAGUUAAAUAAUGUAGUAUGACUUAUAUACCACUAAUUUAAAAAAAAAAAAAAAACCCACAGAACUAUGUCUAAUUCACUUUGACUACUGAUAUGCAAACCUAAAAACAGAAAAAUAUAUCAUAAAAUAGUGAUUGAAAGAUUCAUAACACUUUGAAAGGAUAAUUCAGACACGUGUUACACGGGGAGCAUGUUUGUUUACAAAUAAUAAUGUCACGUGAUCGCGCAGACCUCACAUGUUGCAUCGCCCUUACAAUCCACUGAUACAUAACCCAUUAUCAUGCAAACAUGCAACGUGAAUGUGAUUGGUUAUCAAAUAAUACAGAAAUAAUGCAUGCACAGUUUAUGAAGAAAUUAGUUCAUCAAAUAGAUCGAUUUUCACUUUUGACACGAAUAGGUCGGGUUGACAUUUCUGUCAUCGGGGAUAAUAUUGAGAUAAAUGGGAUAAAACUGACCGUCAAAAAGGUCUAGAGAAGCACAUCAGUAGAACCUUAACAUUAAUAAGUAAUACUUACCAAAAUUUCUCUAAUUAAUAAACUAUAUAACUGAAAUUUCACAAAGAUAACGGUAAAUAAUUUUGAUGGUGGUGGUGAUGCUGGUUAAAUUGGCG